rnacentral:lncRNA from 1 species
CCCCUUUUUUGCCGCUUCAAGGACGAAAUUGUAACGCAUUCUUCUUGCAUUGAUAUGUCAUACAAUCGGCUUUGGUUUUGACGAUAUAGGACUCAUUGAUUUCUUUGAAAAUGCAACGGGAAGGAAUCCCUUGUGGACUCCAAGUAGAUUACAUGCAUAUGAAAAAAGAGAAAGAAGGAUGAGAAGCUGUUCAACACCUGAACCACUUUUUGGGGGAAAACUUGAAUUUUUAAGCUAACUGGGGUACAAACAAUCACUCAUAUUGAGCUUCAAAUCACGCGUUUUUAGCUGGGAAAGAAUAAUUUUAUAGACCAAGUCCUAUCGCCAAACAACAAAACAAAUAUAUACAGUCUUCUUGUGCAAAACAAACAAAUAACAGAUUCCAUUGAACUCGCACUCUUUGUGUUUUCAUGGGCCUACAGAGAGAGGCUUAGGUAGCUAGGUAAUUCUAUCCAACAAAUUCAAUGAACGAAACCUCAUCUAGGGCAGUUAAAUUCAAGAGAUAGCGAUUAAGAGAGUUUUUUUUAAGACAAAGCAUUCAUCAAUAAAGUUAGGGCUAAUGCAUACUCAAUUGGUACGGCGCACAGUCAAGAAGAUGGCAUUCAAGUUAAAGAAGACCCAAGGCAGCGUGACGAGUUGACAUUGAAAAUCUUGAAACUAAAAAAUGAUCAAUAACGAAACUAAGAUCAGCAUAGCAAAUCUCUUAUAAGCAAAAACGAGAUAAAGUCCUGAUCUUUUGAGUAAACAGUCAAGGUCACAAAAAUUCUAAAGCCUUCAAGGCUUACAGCAGAUAAUUCCCAAGCAUUCUCUAUAGCUACUAGAGCUACUAACGAAUCAAUGACAAGAAGAGAAAAUCAAAAUUAAAGCUAACCGAUUAAAGACAAAAGAAAAUAUCUAAACUAAAAGAUGAUGUAUUUACCUCUUUCGAAGCAGCUAAACAGGGACGACAAACUUUUGGAAUCAACCACACCCAAACGAUGUCGACUUUCUCAUCUUUCGUUCGAGAAAUUCCAAUUACCAGCUAAAUUAGAAAAGUCACUGAAACAGAACAUUGUAUCUUUUUUUUCUGGAACCUUCGAACCCCAAAAGGGAAGAAAAGAGAAAAAUCCCACUCUUUUUGAAACCAAGAGAAAAUUUCUCAAAGGCUAGAACUUUAACAGAUUUCCCACCCCCUAGAUAUUUUGAGAAAAGAAAAAAAAUUCUCAAAAACAGAAUUUGAACUCCCAAAGAUUUCUAACACAAUUUCUGAACCCUGAAGUUUCUAAUCCUCCUCCUAAAAAAACUCCUGAUUAAUGACCCUAGGGGCCUUUAUAUAGAAGCCGAAUUAGGGCUUCUCAAGGGAAAAAACAAAAUCCCUUGCAAAUUCCUUUAGAGUCCCUCCACAGCCUGGCUUGAAUCAGUAGACGUACCCUUUUUGGCUCCUAAAUCCCGAAGCUAACCAAUAGAAAUGGAGAAAGAAAAACCAUCCCCCUUGAGGCCAAUCAAAAUCAUCCAAAUAUGUACCAAAUGCUACCUGCAUCCUAAGAUUUACGAAAUAUAGACGUUGGGGGACAACACUGGCUCAUUUUCUAGAAGGCUCAAGGGUCGUCCUUGUCCUACUGGCGUGUGAGACGCGUGAAAGAGGGAAAAAGAAUGGUUUAGGAUUGAUUCCAGGUUGGGUUGAUGGUGGAUUUGCUGAGUCGGGUUUGUUGAGAUACGGGUAGGUUCUUGUUGAGGUCGAGUUGACGGCGGGUUAGGGGUAUUGGGAAUUAACGGAGGAUGUUUUGGUUUUGCCUUUUGAUUUAGAGUUAAGAGGAGAGAGAGUAUAUAGGCUAGAUCGGGUUUAAAAGGUUUGUGCUGGUGGGGGCUGGUUUUGUAUGGGCUAAUAGGAUAGAAGAUUGGUAAUGAAAAUUAAAGAAAUGGGUCACUGCUUGUAGUUUAGAAAAUAGGACGAAAUUGGAUUAAUUGGGUAUUGGGUGCAUUAUGUAAUUGGAUAUUUGGCCAAAUCAUUUAAAUUUUGUCCAAAUUGAAAAUCAAUUGGCCAAUUGGAUCACAAUUACGGCCGAUUUGAUUUCAAUUAAGGUCAAAUUUAAUAAAUUGACUAAAUUGAACCAACAUCCAAAGCGAAUUAAUCCUUCUUUUAAUUUCGAGCUUUUUGAUUCAAAAAAAUCAAAUACUUAUCUCUCCGAAUAAAUUAUUAUUAUUAUUAUAUUUUUUUUUUAGGAUAAAUUAUAAUUAAAUCAAGAUUUAAAUCAUUAUAAACUUAUUUAAAGAUAAGCCUUGAUUAAGAUCUGAUACUUUGUAAAACUAAUAUUUAAGUAUCAAAAUUAUAUAAUUUCGUAUGAUUAAAUACGACAAUAUACAACCGCUACUUAAAAAUGACAAAAUUACGUACAAAAAAUAUUUUGAAAAUCCUUUAUUCGGAUAAGAUAAAUUUUGAUUUCAUUUUAAAAUUGAAGAAACACGAAAUUAAAUUCAAUUGCGGAGGGCAAAAAUUAGGUGUCAACAACUGCCCCCUCCCUUUGGAUAAGGUGGAUGCAAGUAACCCUAGGUAAAGGGAGGUUGACGUUCCUAAUUUUUGUCCGACCAUAAAUUUGUAUCUAAAAGAGGUUGGUUUUCCGCACGAGUUUCAUGGAGUUAUGGCCGAACCUCGGGAUCAGGUUUCCUCUAUAUCUCAGGUUACAUUAGAAUUCAGGCCACUUGUAGUUCAUAAAGCUUACUUUAAAGCACGAUUUUCAAAAAUUCAUAAGCUGUCUUGAUUUUGGAGUUUUUGAUAAAACCAGAAAGCUAGGGAAUAGAGGGAUUUGGGGAGAGGUUGGAAUGCAGUCGAGUUUUCUAUAUAGAUCCCAGCCUAUAUAUCCCCAAGACUUAAGGGAAUCAGACUGCUUGUAGUUCAACUCGAUCGGUAGGAAAGAUAGUCUUUUAUUUCAGACGAUCUUUGGCUCAGGAUGAGUGACAAGUUGAUCGAGUUUUAAAAAAGAGGCUUGUAACCUCUUAACCAUGAAUGUGGGAUCCUUCACACCCAUAGAAAAUAACUUACCCGAACAUAAUUUCCAAAACUCUAAGUGUGUUGCCACCCGAAUUUGAAAGGAAGAGAAGGUUACCCUCGUCAUGUGUUUAGAAAUAUCCCGAAGGUAUAGCUAAAAUUAGAAUAUCCUGAAAUACCCAUAUGCCUUCUAACAGGGGUGUGUUUGGAUGGUGGUGAUGAUCAUCCUUUAGUUCGCGUCCAAAGAGUUUGACGUCCCUCUUUAGACUAUGUCCCGUUUUGCUGCUAAGAAAGAGUUCCACAUUGUCCUGUGUCCUAUUUGAAGUCGUCCGCACCUGCGGUUUUGAUUUGACAUUUUUAUCCUCUCAGAUGAUCUCGACAAUGCUUCAAGCAAAAAGUGUUAGUGCUAAACAUAAUUCACGAAAGAGGUAUAUAGUCUUUUACCAUAUCUCCACGUGAGUUGUGGCUUGAAAAAUGAAGUCAUCCCUUCAUGUACAUAGUUGGAAUGAAAUAACUAGCAAUAACAAACACAACAACCCUCUUGGUUGUUGUAUAAUUAUGAAGUUUGUUGAUUGAAUAUGUCUUCAAAGUGGGGUGGCCUUUUUGGACACCGGUGAUACUUUUUGCAGAACGGUCCCUACAACUGUGUAAUCUUAUGCUAGAGUGGCAACCCAUUUGGUUACCUAUAUCACUUGUUGUAUGUGGAAUGAUAACCUCUCUGGUUAUAGCCGAUGAUCGAUUUAUAAAUUUUCUUUAAAUUAUCAAUCUUUGGAUAAUCUUACGCAUUAUUUGAUGUUGGAUGCGAGGCGACUUACAGAUAUCCUUUGAAUUUCUAGCUGUUAGGUAAUCCUACACAUUAUCCGACUUUGGAUAAGAGAUGACUUACAGAUAUCCCGCCAAUCGCUAGCUUUCAGAUGUUCCUGCACAUCAUUCGACCUUGGAUACAAUAUGACUUAUAGAUAAUCCCUCAAAUUGUUAGUCUUUGGGUAAUCCUGCACAUAAUCGAUCUUGGAUAUGACGCGGCUUAUAGAGAACCCUUGGACGUACCAAUUUGAUAAUCUUGCAUAUUCUCCGGUAAGGAUUUAGUUGCGACUUAUCGAUAACCUUUAAACUAUCGAUUUUUGGGCAAUCUUGCACACUAUCCGGUUAGGAUGUUAUUGUGUCUUACGAAUGACCUACAGGCUAUCAACUCAUAGGUGAUCUUGCACACUAUCCUAUUUCAAAUAAUAUGACUUAUAGAUGACCCUCAAAUUGUCAAUUUCUAGGAAAUCUUAUAUAUCAUUCAUCCUUAGAUAGUGACUUAAAGGCGUCCCUUCAAAUUGUGUGCCCUCGAUGCAUUAAGAUGUUGUUGAUUUAUAAAAUGAUCAGAUAUCCUCGACACCAGCAUUUAUGUCUUGAGUGUCACAGAUAUAAAAUGAUGAUGAUAUCCUUGAGCCAGCGUUGUGUCUCGCAUGUCAAUAGAUAUAUUAAAUACUGAUGAUAUCCUCAACACCAGCGUUGUGUCUCUAUCAACAGAUAUAUUGAUAAUAUCCUCGAUGCCAACAUUGUAUCUCGCAUGACAACAGAUAUAUUAAAUGUUGAUGAUAUCCUCGACGCCAGCGUUGUGUCUCGCUUGUCAACAGAUAUAUGAAUAGCGUUCUUGGGCGAUGGUAUGAGAUGGCCCUCUUGGCAAUGAUAUGCAAUGACCCUUGUGGCAAUGAUAUGUGAUGGCCCUUGCGGCAAUGAUAUGCAAUGGCCUUUCGGCAAUGAUAUGUAAUGGCCCUUGCGGCAAUGAUAUAUGAUGGCCCUUGCGGCAAUGAUAUAUGAUGGCCCUUACGGCAAUGGUAUGCGAUGGCCCUCUUGGCAAAUUUUAAAAUAAUCUUACCUGACUUUAUUUGUCAGAAUCUUGCUUUCUACAUGUACCUGUACUCAAGGUAGAUGAUCAGUAGACACAAAGUCGCUUUUACUAGCGACUAUUUUUAGGAAACUUCUAAAUACAAUGUUUGCGAAGAAGACAAGGCACUUUUGUUUGUCGCCCAUGAUCUCAAGAAAUGAGAUGGACAAAUCAAAAGGUCCUCAAUAAAUGGGUAUUAAAGCUAUUUUUAGGGCUACCCUAAAAUACCGUUCUUGGGCAUUAAUGCUCUGUUGUGUCUCCCAAUUUGCUCGGGAAUUUUUGAAAGAGACCCUCACUUUUGUGUAUUGAUCCCUGCAUCCACAGAAAAAUGAUUAGUUUAAAAUAAAUUACUCGAUGUUGACCUUCUUUGAUUCUUGAUUCUCUGUUUGCCAUCUCUUAGGCAUUCCGCCAUAUUGGGACUUCCAUCCUGACACUCUAUCCCAAGUGAUGUCUAGGAAAGUACUAAAUAAGUGAGUUGUAAGAUUUUUUUUUUUUUAAAUAGUCUUAAUUUUCAGAAAAUAAUUUCAAAAGCUUCUGUAAAACUUUAGAAGAUCUCUGCCAGUCAUGUCAUGUAUUAGCUCAACGAACGUCUUCCUCAUGAUUUUGACUAUAUCCGAUGGAUGAUUUCCAAAGCUCAUGAUCAUUGUUGGAGGUUUUCUUCAAGUAAUUCUAUCAUAGCAAGAAAUUAAGCUUGCCUAGACUUUAUCGCAGCUGACUAUUUUAAAAGCUCGAUCUUAACCUUUGGUGCUGGGGAAUUGGAAAUAUGUUCCAGUAUCUGGUGGAAAUUUUGAGGACUUCCCUCAAAAUUUCUGCCCCAGUUUAGAGUUGUUUGAGAUGAUACCAACUCGAGUGGAUUUGAAGUCUUUGCUGAUCUUCAUUCUCUUUGUUGGACGUCGAUCUUCUCUUGUGAAUUUUUGAGAUUCCUUAUCGAAAAUACUGCCCCAGUUUCUAUUUCUUGGGGUUAUAUGACCGAGCCAUUGGGGCGCCUACGUAUCCUAUUGAAGCAGGAAUCAGGUCAAAUAUAGUUCAAGACUACGCUAAGGAUAUAUAGAAAAAUCUUAGUGAGUUGAUCGAAGCCGACAUAGGCCACCUAUGUAUCCCUUUCUUGGGAAUUCAGGUCAUCACGUAGUUCAUACAUAAAGGAAAAGGAUAUUAGGCAAUUACACAUCAUAAAAUUGAUACUAUUAUAAAGGUGAUUACAAAUAAGCCAAGAAACAAAAACUAUAACAUCUUUCAAGCACGAUAUCUCUUUACCGCAUCAGAAUUGAUUGGUUUGGUCCACUCUUGACCAUCUAUCUCAGGUAGUAUUAGGGCUCCUCCAGGUUUUAAUUUUCACAUUCCUCUGUAUCUACUACUAACUGCUCUUCAUCAUCUUUUUCUGUUCAUCAUUAUUUCAUUCGCUCUGUUCACCAAAAUAAGUCAUGCUAGAUAAUCAUACUUAAAAAAUAACUUCUUAAAUAAAGGGAGGCAUUUUGGAAAAUAAAUAAAAACUAUGGAUCAGGACCCACACAAAUGUAGGCCCAUGCCUUUUUGAGAGUUGUAAAACAUGAAACAAAAAUUUGAGACAUAAAAGAGUGGAUCACGCGGCCUCCUCCGGAUCAUCACCGAUUUUAAAAACUAUUGGUAAUUGCCCUUUCAUCUACUGCGACGGGUGAUGAAUUAGGAGCGAAGUAGAAGUCUAAUUUUAUAAAGCUUCUCCUGGUGCAACCUUUUUUAUCCCACCGAACUUUGGGAAAUCAUCUGGUAGAGCAUUGGAUCCUUUGAAUAGAUCUCCUAUCCCAUCCUCAAGACCCUCAUCAUUUGAUAUCUCAUGUACGGGAAAUGACUGGUACAAGAGCGGCAAGGGCCUAAACAGACUCUCCUUUGAAUUAUCUUCGAUCUCAUCUUCCUUUCUUGGUUGGUACUUUAUUCCAUGCUUAAAAGAUUUUUCUGGGACCAUAACAGACUUGAUAAUUCUUUCCAAAUCCUUACUUAAGGCGGCCACAACUUCCUCUAUCUUCUCUGCCUCUUUUAUUCCUUUGAGUCCUUCUGAAUCUACCUUAGUGAUGGCCUUGCUAGACGUCCAUUCACCCUCUAUUUCAAUCAUGUUAACUGUAGGUCCCCCAUAGUUAGGCAGUGGAUUACUGUUAAUAUUUGGUGUCAGCGACUAAAGCGUGAUGACCUUCUGAUCAAUCAAAUCUUGGAUCUUAUGUUUCAAGUUAAUGCAAUCCUCGAUACUGUGCCCCACUGUUCUUGAAUGAUAGGCACAAUUUUGAUCGGGAUGAUAAAAUUGAGAGUUGGGAUUGAUAGGCUUUGGCUGGAAUUGUUACAAAUAACCAGCAUUCAUCAAUCUUCCGAAGAGCUGGGUACAACUUUUGGCUAGCGGGGUGAAGUUUUGGGGAGGUUUCCUUUUGAAGUUUAAAUGUGGAGGGUUAUAAUGGGUCUGAUUUACAGGAGGAGGUACUUGAUGAUAAUUUAGAGACGUUUGGACAUUUAUUUGGUAAUUUGGAAAAGUAGCUUGAGUAUGAGGUUGAUAAUUUGGUUGUGGAACUUAGUACUGGGUAAAAUAUUUGGAAUUGAAGCUUGAUAUUGGGGAUGGGCGUAGAAUACAGGCUGAAAAUUAGGUGACAGUGGUGAGGAAAGAAUAUUCCUAGGCUUGAAUGUCCUCUUCAAUUUAUCAACAAAAUCAGUAGAGACCGCAGUCACAUCCUCUCUUUUCUUCUUUGAGAUUGCAGAAGAUUCAGAUGAUGUUGGGGUUUUGGCAAUUUUUCCUGUUCGGAUGCCUUCCUCUAACGAUUCCCCAAUCUUUACUAAGUUUGCAAAAGUUGCUCGGACCGCGGACACAAACCUGGUAUAAUAUUCUCCUUCCUGUAUGCAAGAGACAACUGAUACCAUUUCUUCCUCAGACAUGGGAGGUUGUACUUUAGCAGCCUCUUUUCUCUAACAAAAGGCGUAGUCUCGAAAACACUCAUUAUUCUUCUGUUUGAUCCAAUCUAGUGAGUAUCAUUCAGGGACCAUCUCAAUGUUAAAUGCGAACCCGUCAAGGAAACCCUUGGCCAAUGCUUUCUAACCAGUCCAUCUUUUCAGUUCCUGAGACAUGAACCACUCUAAGGAUUCGCCACUUAAACUUCGGUUGAACAGACGCAUCAAUAAUGCCUCAUUUUUACCUACCCCCACCAUUUGUUUACAAUACCUUAUCAAAUGGGCCAUUGGAUUUCUGGUGCCAUCGAACACCUCAAAUUUAGGGACCUUAUACCCUUCUGGUAAAUCUAUUCCAGGGUGAGCACAUAAAUCAUCAUACCCUAAACCGUCGUGGUCCCUCACUCCAUGGGAUUCUUUGAUCCUCAAGAUCUCUUCAUUCAUAGCUAGAACCUUUAUUUCAUGCUCAGUCCUCCACUCUUUCUCCUUCUCCUUGUAAUGGUCCAUUUCGGGAUUAGGAAGAGGAUUAUAGAUAGCAGGGGAUAUAAUGGCAUGGAGAGGAUUUGGAAGGGAGGCUUAAUUUUGCUGAUGAAACAAAGUGGGUUGGUAGGUGGGGAGGACAUUAUGAAAAUUAGAAAGGUUUUGUGGAAUUUGAGAGUGGUUUGGAGAUGGUUUUUGUGGGGUUAGAGAUGGAUUUUGUGGACGGUAGGCAUCUGGGUUAUUUUCGCGAUUAGUGUUUUAGACAAAUGGAGGAGCGGAGACGGAUGAUAUGUUAUUUGGCUAAUUCCUGAGAAUCGGUGUACUGAGGGAAGGAAUUUGGAGUGGAGUCCUGUGUCCUCCUGGAGCGGGGGCAUUUACGGUGAUAUCCAGGUUAGCCAAAUCUUGAGUGCGAUUUAUUUCCUUCUGAAGCAUUUCUAAUUUCCUUGCGAGUUCCGCAAUCAUCUCACUCUGUUCCACUAUUACAUUUUUCCUGAUGGUCAAUGUGUUAUCUUCAUAAUUUCUAGUCAAUAUUGAAUGACGGUCAGAGGAUGGGAUUUUAUGUGCUUUUGACCAGGUGAAGUAGGGAUGUUCUGCCAGCUUAUAUCAACACGGAGUAGUUUCUAUUAUCUGUUAAGUAAAACAACUCAAAGGCAGAUGUGUUAGUUUCUGUGUGUGAUAAGUAAUGAAAAAUAUUUUGACAAGAAAUAACCACGUAGAGUUGUUUGAGUCAUAGCAAAAUUCAUCCAUAGGAGCACAGCGGAUAAACUUGCCUUUGAUCCAAACAAACACACAUAAGCACAUAAGACAAUUAUAUUACACAAAAUAUUAUGAUAAUGCGUAUCCUAACUGGGGUGACCCUUUUUUGAGCCAAGGGUUCAGGCAUAAUGAUUUUUGAAGAAAAUAUAUGCUUCCCUAAAGUCAAUCCAUUAUCCCCCAACUUAUAUAGACACGAAAAGGGCAUAAAUGCUUCCAAACGAUAACAAAAGAGGGACACAAUCUUUAGGGAAAAAGGAAAAUAACAUGAAAGAAGAUAAGCUCCCACGCAGGGGUUAGAAAAUACUAAUUCCUGAGUGUUUCUUCUAUCAGCCUUCGCCUUCUCAGCUUCAUCCAUUUCUUAUAUUGGUGACGUCUGUAAACUGUGCCUUAGAUGCAACCUCCCAAAUCGAUCAAUUUCUUGCUUAACUUGCUUCAAUUAUUCUUACAAAAGUAAGCAAAUCAAGCUUUUCCCGACCCCCAAAGGAUAAUGGAUUGAAUUUAGACAAGCAUGUAUUUUUUUUCAACACAUAAAUAUGAUUCAUCUGUAAUUGACUCGGGGUCAAUAGACGCAGAGCAGGUUUUCUAAUGGGCCUAAUACCCCGCUCGGGUAUUGGGUCGUCCUAGGCUCAUGCCUAAAAUAAGGUUUUGGUUACGUUUUAUCCUCGGUGUAUAGAGUGGGUUUGAACACUAGUUCUCAAGCGGACAACUUGAGUUUGAAAAUACGAACAGCGUUAGACGACUCACGUGCUAAUAAGCCAUUCAUAUUUCCAACACAUUUUGGAAUUGAACAAUAGGGGCCGGGACAUUCAUGAAACCCCAAAACAGUUUAAAUAAUGUAGGAAUAUGCCAUGAGAUACGAUAAUUAAACUUUACAAAAUCGAAAUAUAUAAACACAUAAAUAGUUAAACAAAAGACGAAAUCAAACAUUUGGUUAGAACCUAGUUAAUCAUUCCCCAGUGGAGUCGCCAUUUCUGUUUUGAAGAGAAAUUUUUUGACUUUUGAGAGUCGCCACUUAAUUUUGAAAAGUAAUUAAGAAACCUUUAGAGAGUUACUUCAAAUGAUUCAAAAUAGGAAAAUCGUUUUAGUUAAGAGAUUCUAGAUAAGAGGUUCCUAUUAACGUUUUAGGAAGGUGUUAGGCACCUAAAACGUCUGAUAACUUGCGGUUAUCCGGACUGUUUGAAAAUCAUCUUUUGAUUAACUUCGAAAAUAUUAAUUUUUCUCGAAAAGUGAUUGAUUUUUUUUGAAAGAAAGCAAUUUUGUAAAUAUUUUGGUGUUUAUACAAAACUAGUUUUUUAGCGACUAAACUAAGGAUUUAACUAGGUUCGCAAAGCACAUAAAAAAAACAUAAGGAAUAGGGGGAAGGGAGGAAGUAAAGGAUUUAGGCCAUUGGCCCAAACCAACAAACCUGUCCUAGUCUAGUUGGGUUUUCAACCCAUUUCUCAUUUCACCUGUCCUCUUUCUAUGUUUUCGAGCCCUUUGGCUUGAGUUUUCACUUCACCUGUAUUAAGUACAACUUUGUCUUCUAGGCCCAAAUGAAUAAAAAAAUGACUAAACAAAGAUAUAAAUAAAUAAGUAAAUAAGAGCAACAAUGAAUAAGUAAAUUAAAAAAGGGACUUUCAAGUCCCCUUUUUUUGCCGCUUCAAGGACGAAAUUGUAAUGCAUUCUUCUUGCAUUGAUAUGUCAUACAAUCGACUUUGGUUUUAAUGAUACAGGACUCAUUGGCCUCUUCGAAAAUGCAAUUGGAAGGAAUCCCUUGUGGACUCCAAGUAGAUUACAUGCAUAUGAAAAAGAGAAAGAAAGAUGAGAAGCUGUUCAACUCCUGAACCACCAACUUAGUAUACAGACAAAAUCAUCAGACAAUUUCUAAUUUUUUAUCAAUGAUUAUUCUCGAUCCAAUUAAGGAACCCAACCAAAAGGAGAGCAACAUAGCAUCAAAUCACUUUUUUGGGGAAAACUUGAAUUUUUAAGCUAACUGGGGUACAAACAAUCACUCAUCUUGAGCUUCAAAUCACGUGUUUUUAGCUGGAAAAGAAUAAUUUUAUAGACCAAGUCCUAUAGCCAAACAAUGAAACAAAUAUAUACAGUCUUCUUGUGCAAAACAAACAAAUAACAGAUUCCAUUGAACUCGCACUCUUUGUGUUUUCAUAGGCCUACAGAGAGAGGCUUAGAGAAAAUAAAGAGGAUAAAUACUACAGGGGAAGGAAAUAGAAAAUGGGGAAACUAGGGGGAAGGACCAACCAAUAAGAAUACUUCCUAAUUCACAUAGAUAUGGACAAUAUUCCUACGCAGAAGACAACCCAAAUGACAACAACCACUCCCCGAGUAACGCUAGAUAGAGUAUGGGAGUGCAAUUUUGAAUAAAUCAUGCAAAUAAGCUAGAUUUCGAAGAACACCAAGUAAUGAAUACUCAAGUGAA